GACGAACGCUGGCGGCGUGCCUAAUACAUGCAAGUUGAGCGCUGAAGGUUGGUACUUGUACCAACUGGAUGAGCAGCGAACGGGUGAGUAGCGCGUGGGGAAUCUGCCUUUGAGCGGGGGACAACAUUUGGAAACGAAUGCUAAUACCGCAUAAAAACUUUAAACACAAGUUUUAAGUUUGAAAGAUGCAAUUGCAUCACUCAAAGAUGAUCCCGCGUUGUAUUAGCUAGUUGGUGAGGUAAAGGCUCACCAAGGCGAUGAUACAUAACCGACCUGAGAGGGUGAUCGGCCACAUUGGGACUGAGACACGGCCCAAACUCCUACGGGAGGCAGCAGUAGGGAAUCUUCGGCAAUGGACGAAAGUCUGACCGAGCAACGCCGCGUGAGUGAAGAAGGUUUUCGGAUCGUAAAACUCUGUUGGUAGAGAAGAACGUUGGUGAGAGUGGAAAGCUCAUCAAGUGACGGUAACUACCCAGAAAGGGACGGCUAACUACGUG
rnacentral:rRNA from 1 species